AUUGAACGCUGGCGGCAGGCCUAACACAUGCAAGUCGAGCGGAUGAAGGGAGCUUGCUCCUGGAUUCAGCGGCGGACGGGUGAGUAAUGCCUAGGAAUCUGCCUGGUAGUGGGGGAUAACGUCCGGAAACGGGCGCUAAUACCGCAUACGUCCUGAGGGAGAAGGUGGGGGAUCUUCGGACCUCACGCUAUCAGAUGAGCCUAGGUCGGAUUAGCUAGUUGGUGGGGUAAAGGCCUACCAAGGCGACGAUCCGUAACUGGUCUGAGAGGAUGAUCAGUCACACUGGAACUGAGACACGGUCCAGACUCCUACGGGAGGCAGCAGUGGGGAAUAUUGGACAAAGGGCGAAAGCCUGAUCCAGCCGUGCCGCGUGUGUGAAGAAGGUCUUCGGAUUGUAAAGCACUUUAAGUUGGGAGGAAGGGCAGUAAGUUAAUACCUUGCUGUUUUGACGUUACCAACAGAAUAAGCACCGGCUAACUUCGUG
rnacentral:rRNA from 1 species